rnacentral:rRNA from 1 species
AUUGAACGCUGGCGGCAUGCCUUACACAUGCAAGUCGAACGGCAGCACGGGUGCUUGCCCCUGGUGGCGAGUGGCGAACGGGUGAGUAAUACAUCGGAACAUGUCCUGUAGUGGGGGAUAGCCCGGCGAAAGCCGGAUUAAUACCGCAUACGAUCUACGGAUGAAAGCGGGGGACCUUCGGGCCUCGCGCUAUAGGGUUGGCCGAUGGCUGAUUAGCUAGUUGGUGGGGUAAAGGCCUACCAAGGCGACGAUCAGUAGAUGGUCUGAGAGGACGACCAGCCACACUGGGACUGAGACACGGCCCAGACUCCUACGGGAGGCAGCAGUGGGGAAUUUUGGACAAUGGGCGAAAGCCUGAUCCAGCAAUGCCGCGUGUGUGAAGAAAGCCUUCGGGUUGUAAAGCACUUUUGCCCGGAAAGAAAUCCUUGGCUCUAAUACAGUCGGGGGAUGACGGUACCGGAAGAAUAAGCACCGGCUAACUACGUG